UGCCAGCAGCCGCGGUAAGACGUAGGGACCGAGCGUUGUCCGGAAUUACUGGGCGUAAAGCGCGCGUAGGCGGUAUAGUAAGUCAGAUGUGAAAGCCCCGGGCUUAACCUGGGAAUGGCAUUUGAUACUGCUAAACUAGAGUGUGAUAGAGGAUAGUAGAAUUCCCGGUGUAGCGGUGAAAUGCGUAGAGAUCGGGAGGAAUACCAAUGGCGAAGGCAACUGUCUGGGUCAACACUGACGCUGAGGCGCGAAAGCGUGGGGAGCAAACAGGAUUAGAUA
rnacentral:rRNA from 1 species